rnacentral:rRNA from 1 species
GACGAACGCUGGCGGCGUGCCUAAUACAUGCAAGUCGAACGCUUCUUUUUCCACCGGAGCUUGCUCCACCGGAAAAAGAGGAGUGGCUAACGGGUGAGGAACACGUGGGUAACCUGCCCAUCAGAAGGGGAUAACACUUGGAAACAGGUGCUAAUACCGUAUCACAAUCAAAACCGCAUGGUUUUGAUUUGAAAGGCGCUUUCGGGUGUCGCUGAAGGGUGGAACCGCGGUGCAUUAGCUAGUUGGUGAGGUAACGGCUCACCAAGGCCACGAUGCAUAGCCGACCUGAGAGGGUGAUCGGACACAUUGGGACUGAGACACGGCCCAAACUCCUACGGGAGGCAGCAGUAGGGAAUCUUCGGCAAUGGACGAAAGUCUGACCGAGCAACGCCGCGUGAGUGAAGAAGGUUUUCGGAUCGUAAAACUCUGUUGUUAGAGAAGAACAAGGAUGAGAGUAACUGUUCAUCCCUUGACGGUAUCUAACCAGAAAGCCACGGCUAACUACGUGCCAGCCGCCGCCGUAA